rnacentral:rRNA from 1 species
AUUGAACGCUGGCGGCAUGCUUUACACAUGCGAGUCGAACGGUAACAGGCCUUCGGGUGCUGACGAGUGGCGAACGGGUGAGUAAUGCAUCGGAACGUACCCAGAGGUGGGGGAUAACGCAGCGAAAGCUGUGCUAAUACCGCAUGUGAUCUGAGGAUGAAAGCGGGGGACCGAGCAGCAAUGUUUGGCCUCGCGCCUUUGGAGCGGCCGAUGUCGGAUUAGCUAGUUGGUGGGGUAAAGGCCUACCAAGGCGACGAUCCGUAGCUGGUCUGAGAGGACGACCAGCCACACUGGGACUGAGACACGGCCCAGACUCCUACGGGAGGCAGCAGUGGGGAAUUUUGGACAACGGGCGCAAGCCUGAUCCAGCAAUGCCGCGUGCGGGAAGAAGGCCUUCGGGUUGUAAACCGCUUUUGGCAGGAACGAAACGGUGUCCGCUAAUACCGGGCGCUAAUGACGGUACCUGCAGAAUAAGCACCGGCUAGCUACGUG